rnacentral:rRNA from 1 species
UGUGUAGGCGGCCGUGCAAGUUGGGUGUGAAAGCCCUUGGCUCAACCAAGGAACUGCAUUCAAAACUGCAUGGCUUGAGUGCGGGAGAGGGAAGCAGAACUCCUAGUGUAGAGGUGGAAUUCGUAGAUAUUAGGAGGAAUACCCGUGGCGAAGGCGGCUUCCUGGACCGACACUGACGCUGAGACACGAAAGCGUGGGGAGCAAACAGGAUUAGAUACCCUGGUAGUCC